rnacentral:rRNA from 1 species
CCUACGGGUGGCUUCAGUGGGGAAUAUUGGACAAUGGGCGCAAGCCUGAUCCAGCAAUGCCGCGUGUGUGAAGAAGGCCUGCGGGUUGUAAAGCACUUUCAGUGGGGAGGAAGGCCUCGAUAUUAAUACUAUUGAGGAUUGACGUUACCCACAGAAGAAGCACCGGCUAACUCUGUGCCAGCAGCUGCGGUAAUACAGAGGGUGCAAGCGUUAAGCAGAAUUACUGGGCGUAAAGGCUGAGUAGAUGGUUGAAAGCCCCGGGCUCAACCGGGGAAUUGCAUUUGAGACUGAGUAACUUGAGUAUGGUAGAGGGAAGUGGAAUUUCCAGUGUAGCGGUGAAAUGCGUAGAUAUUGGAAGGAACAUCAGUGGCGAAGGCGACUUCCUGGACCAUUACUGACACUGAGGCACGAAAGCGUGGGGAGCGAACAGGAUUAGAUACCCCUGUAGUC